rnacentral:rRNA from 1 species
AGUGAACGCUGGCGGUAGGCCUAACACAUGCAAGUCGAACGGCAGCACAGUAAGAGCUUGCUCUUACGGGUGGCGAGUGGCGGACGGGUGAGGAAUACAUCGGAAUCUACUUUUUCGUGGGGGAUAACGUAGGGAAACUUACGCUAAUACCGCAUACGACCUACGGGUGAAAGCAGGGGAUCUUCGGACCUUGCGCGAUUGAAUGAGCCGAUGUCGGAUUAGCUAGUUGGCGGGGUAAAGGCCAACCAAGGCGACGAUCCGUAGCUGGUCUGAGAGGGUGGUCAGCCACACUGGAAGUGAGACACGGUCCAGACUCCUACGGGGGGCAGCAGUGGGGAAUAUUGGACAAUGGGCGCAAGCCUGAUCCAGCCAUACCGCGUGGGUGAAGAAGGCCUUCGGGUUGUAAAGCCCUUUUGUUGGGAAAGAAAAGCAGCAGGUUAAUACCCCGCUGUUCUGACGGUACCCAAAGAAUAAGCACCGGCUAACUUCGUG